rnacentral:miRNA from 1 species
GCUGACACAUCCUGGCCAAUCUCCAGCAGACCCUUCCUCCCAGACCCUCCCACCUCCUGGCCAGCAUCCAUGUUGAAGCUGCCUUCAACAUGGAUGCUGUCCAGGAGGUGGGAGGGUCUGGGAGGGAGGGUCUGCUGGAGAUUGGCCGGGAUGUGUCAG